AUGGCGGCCGCGGCGCAGGAGGCCGAGCCGGCCUGCCUGCAGAGCUUCGACCUCUAUGAGAGCGCAUCGAGAUUUUAUAUUUUUGGAACUAAUGCUGACAAAACAGUAUGGAGGCUACUCAAAAUCGAUAGAUCGGAAACAUCAGAGCUUGACAUAGACGAGUGUUCUACUGUAUAUACACAAGCUGAGUAUCUUGAACUGGUGAGUGGUCUUGAUGAAGAUCACAGGUCAACUGGUGGGGUUAAAUUUGUGACAAAGUUUUAUGGCAUAAUUGGUUUCAUUAAGUUCCUUGGGCCAUUUUAUAUGUUAAUUAUUACCGAACAGAGAAAAAUUGGGGAGAUAUUUGAUCAUCCAGUGUAUCAGGUGACUAAGACUUCAAUGAUUGAGUUAGCAAAUUCUAAAUCUCGAUCCAGUUUUCUGAAUCCCAGGGAUGAGAACAGAUACAAGAAGAUUUUGAACACACUUGAUCUUAGGAAGGACUUCUUUUUCAGUUACUCAUACCCUAUCAUGAGAGGUCUUCAGAAGAAUUUAAGGGAUCCACAAGAAGGGUGGUCACUAUAUGAGUCAACAUUUGUGUGGAAUGAGUUUCUUACUCGACAAAUACGCAAUUGUCUACAAAGUACUUUGUGGACUGUUGCAUUAGUCUAUGGUUUUUUUAAGCAGGACAAAUUUGCAAUAUCUGGGAAGGACAUUAUGUUCACACUCAUUGCUAGGCGCUCAAGGCAUUAUGCUGGCACCAGAUAUUUAAAGAGGGGAGUAAAUGAGAAGGGAAGAGUAGCGAAUGAUGUUGAGACUGAGCAAAUUGUGUAUGAAGCUGUGCCUAUGCCUACAGAAGUAAGUUCUGUUGUGCAGAACAGGGGUUCGAUCCCACUAUUCUGGUCACAGGAUACAUCAAAAUUGAACAUAAAACCUGAUAUCAUAUUGCAUGAGAAGGACAAAAAUUAUGAAGCUACCAAGCUUCAUUUCGAAAAUCUUAGGGGAAGAUAUGGCAACCCUAUAAUUAUCUUCAACUUGAUUAAGACGCGUGAAAGACGGGAAUCCAUGCUUCGUCGAGAAUUUGAUAAGGCAAUACGGAUCAUAAAUAAAUUGUUUUCAGAGGAGAACCAGCUGCGGUUCUUACAUUGGGAUCUGCAUAAAAACUCUCAAGGAGAACCUACAAAUGUACUUGAUGUUCUUCUGAAAGUGGCAUUUCGUGCUCUGACGUUGACUGAGUUCUUCUAUUGUCAAGUUGCACCACCUACAGGGUCUGAGACUGCUCCUCACUGGCCUGCUCUAUUGCACAGUCACGAUCCAUAUUUUUGUGAUGAAAACAGCAACAGUGACAUAUCCCAAGAAGAUAUCUCGGGCAGUUCUGACUCCUCUGGCAAUGGAACCACGGAAGACAAAGCUGAAACCAGUGAACUGCCCCAACUAAAACCACCAAUCUUCCAGAAAGGUGUCUUACGGACAAAUUGUAUAGAUUGCUUGGAUCGUACAAAUGUUGCACAAUAUGCCUAUGGUUUAGCUGCUCUUGGACAUCAGCUGCAUGCACUUGGUUGUGUAGAAUCCCCAGAACUUGGUUUAGGUGCUCCCGUGGCUCAUCAUUUGAUGCACUUUUAUGAGAGGAUGGGUGACACACUUGCCGUACAGUAUAGCGGGUCGGCUGCUCAUAAUAAGAUCUUCUCUGCGAAGAGAGGACACUUGAAGCUUUUUAUACGAUCACAAGAGUUCUUCAGGACACUACAACGGCACUACAGCAACGCCUGUAUAGAUGCUAACAAACAGGCAGCUAUAAACUUAUUUUUGGGGUACUUCCAACCAAAGCAGGGAAGUCCUGCACUCUGGGAGCUAGAAUCAUCUUCUGAGGAACAUAACAAUGGAUCUUUUGGGCAUACAAGUGACAGUAUCAAAAGAGUGAAUUCAGAUGGCAGCAUCCUUUCUGUAAGCAACACAUCUAUAUCUGGCUGUAGUGGGUGCCAUAAUGAAUUGUUGACUGCAGCGCAACCUGAUGUCAGUACUGAGUUGCAAUCUUCAAAAAUGGAGUCUGAUUUGGUGUAUGUAAAUGAGAUUACAUCACCCAUUGAAAGUAAAAUGUCAAAUUCAAGAUACACCCCCACACUGUCUCAUGAUCAUAUACAUGAUGUCCCAAGCAGUCAACUUGACCCUUGCAAUUCGGGUGAUUCAAACUUCCUGGAUCUUGAAUGGCUUUCAAAUUCAGGCAAUUCAAGUGAUGAAAGGUCGCUUGCAGUUAGCACACCGGAUGCUCACCUUUCAACCGAGAAUGUCAUUAGUGACAUAAUUCCUGAGACUAUGGAAAACCAAGUCGCGGGGGUCCAGGCUCAGAAGCUACCCGAGCAAUUCGUGCAGUGGGUUAACAACGGCAACAGCUUUUGGUUUUGA
rnacentral:rRNA from 1 species